ACGGCGAGCGAACUGGGAAGAGCUCAUGGCGAAAUCCGCCGUCGUUGCGACGGUCCGGAUAUUUCGCGUAUAGGAGAGACGCUUCCGAACGCCGACUCCGGUGUAAGUCCCCCUGACUGGGGCUCCUACCCCAAGAGGGUGCAAGGCCCGUAGCGGCCGGCGUCGGCUUCGGAUGUCCUCUCCGGGGAGUCGGGUUGCUUGAGAGUGCAGCCCCAAUCGGGUGGUAAACUCCAUCUAAGGCUAAAUACGACCCGGAGACCGAUAGCGAACAAGUACCGUGAGGGAAAGUUGAAAAGGACUUUGAAGAGAGAGUUCAAGAGUACGUGAAACCGUUCGAAGGUAAACGAGUGGGCCCUCGAAGCCGUAAGGCGGGGGGACUCAGCCGGGCGCCUCGGACCCGCCGCCGCGCGCGCGCUUCCCCACCGGGACGCGCCGCGGCGGAACCGGUCCGGGUUCCCGGCGCAUUUCCUCCCGCCCUCGGACGCUGCGACCGGUCGCGCGUGCCACGAGCGGUCGGCCUUACUCGCGGGGACCGGCAGGUAGCGGGGACCGCGCUUCGGCGCCUUCCCCGUGUUUAGCC
rnacentral:rRNA from 1 species